rnacentral:rRNA from 1 species
GAUGAACGCUAGCUACAGGCUUAACACAUGCAAGUCGAGGGGAAACGACAUUGAAGCUUGCUUCGAUGGGCGUCGACCGGCGCACGGGUGAGUAACGCGUAUCCAACCUGCCUCUGACUAAGGGAUAACCCGGCGAAAGUCGGACUAAUACCUUAUGAGGUUUUCUGCAGACAUCUAACGAAAACGAAAGAUUUAUCGGUCAGCGAUGGGGAUGCGUCUGAUUAGCUUGUUGGCGGGGUAACGGCCCACCAAGGCAACGAUCAGUAGGGGUUCUGAGAGGAAGGUCCCCCACAUUGGAACUGAGACACGGUCCAAACUCCUACGGGAGGCAGCAGUGAGGAAUAUUGGUCAAUGGGCGAGAGCCUGAACCAGCCAAGUAGCGUGCAGGAUGACGGCCCUAUGGGUUGUAAACUGCUUUUAUGUGGGGAUAAAGUGAGCUACGUGUAGUUUAUUGCAGGUACCACAUGAAUAAGGACCGGCUAAUUCCGUGCCAGCAGCCGCGGUAAUACGGAAGGUCCAGGCGUUAUCCGGAUUUAUUGGGUUUAAAGGGAGCGUAGGCCGUGGAUUAAGCGUGUUGUGAAAUGUAGACGCUCAACGUCUGAAUUGCAGCGCGAACUGGUUCACUUGAGUAUGCACAACGUAGGCGGAAUUCGUCGUGUAGCGGUGAAAUGCUUAGAUAUGACGAAGAACUCCGAUUGCGAAGGCAGCUUACGAGAGCACAACUGACGCUGAAGCUCGAAGGUGCGGGUAUCAAACAGG